rnacentral:lncRNA from 1 species
GCUGCCUAGAAGAGGCUCCUCAGCAACAGGCGCCGCGCAGCUUGAGCGCGGGCCUCCAGCCCCUUUGCUUUCGCUGUCAACUUUUUGCGUGUAGGGGACAGGGAUCUCGGGGAGCUGGUCCCUUACACUUAUUCUUUGUUGUGCUAUGAAGUUGAAAGGCACUGUUCCAAGAACUUUACAAGAUGUUAAGUCAUUUAGUAUUUGCAACAGCCCUAUGAAGAACCUAGAGGUCGGACAAACACCUUGCAGCAAUGAAGCACCUGGAGGACGACAGACAGGAGGAGACUACGUCCUGGAGGCCCAUGGAGCCGCCAUUCAAGCCCUGAACUCCCUACCUCCAGACUCUUGUAUUUGGAGAAAAAUUAGCUUCUAUUUGGUUAAACCAGUGCAGCUGGGUUUUUGUUGCAUGCACCUGACUAUAAGCCUCAUGAAGGCAGAGGGCCUCUUUAAGCAG